GACGAACGCUGGCGGCGUGCCUAAUACAUGCAAGUAGAAUGCACAGUUUAUACCGUAGCUUGCUACACCAUAAACUGUGAGUUGCGAACGGGUGAGUAACGCGUAGGUAACCUGCCUGGUAGCGGGGGAUAACUAUUGGAAACGAUAGCUAAUACCGCAUAAUAUUGAUUAUUGCAUGAUAAUUGAUUGAAAGAUGCUAUUGCAUCACUACCAGAUGGACCUGCGUUGUAUUGGCUAGUAGGUGAGGUAACGGCUCACCUAGGCGACGAUACAUAGCCGACCUGAGAGGGUGAUCGGCCACACUGGGACUGAGACACGGCCCAGACUCCUACGGGAGGCAGCAGUAGGGAAUCUUCGGCAAUGGACGAAAGUCUGACCGAGCAACGCCGCGUGAGUGAAGAAGGUUUUCGGAUCGUAAAGCUCUGUUGUAAGAGAAGAACGGGUGUGAGAGUGGAAAGUUCACACUGUGACGGUAUCUGACCAGAAAGGGACGGCUAACUACGUG
rnacentral:rRNA from 1 species